GACAAACGCUGGCGGCGUGCUUAACACAUGCAAGUCGAACGGUCUCUCUUUGGAGAGAUAGUGGCGGACGGGUGAGUAACACGUAGUUGACCUGCCCUUUGGUGGGGAAUAACUCCUCGAAAGAGGAGCUAAUACCGCAUAAGUUCACGAGGGUUACCUUGUGAGGAAAGCUCCCUUGCGGGAGCGCUGAAGGAGGGGACUGCGGCGGAUUAGCUAGUAGGUGGGGUAAUGGCCUACCUAGGCGACGAUCCGUAGCUGGUCUGAGAGGACGACCAGC
rnacentral:rRNA from 1 species